rnacentral:rRNA from 1 species
CCUACGGGAGGCUGCAGUGGGGAAUAUUGGACAAUGGGGGCAACCCUGAUCCAGCCAUGCCGCGUGUGUGAAGAAGGCCCUCGGGUUGUAAAGCACUUUCAGUGAGGAAGAACGCCUGGUGGUUAAUACCCAUCAGGAAAGACAUCACUCACAGAAGAAGCACCGGCUAACUCCGUGCCAGCAGCCGCGGUAAUACGGAGGGUGCGAGCGUUAAUCGGAAUUACUGGGCGUAAAGCGCGCGUAGGUGGCUUGAUAAGCCGGUUGUGAAAGCCCCGGGCUCAACCUGGGAACGGCAUCCGGAACUGUCAAGCUAGAGUGCAGGAGAGGAAGGUAGAACUCCCGGUGUAGCGGUGAAAUGCGUAGAGAUCGGGAGGAAUACCAGUGGCGAAGGCGGCCUUCUGGACUGACACUGACACUGAGGUGCGAAAGCGUGGGUAGCAAACAGGAUUAGAUACCCUAGUAGUC